rnacentral:rRNA from 1 species
GACAGAGGUCCCGAGCGUUAGGCGGAAUCACUGGGCUUAAAGCGUGUGUAGGCGGACUUCUAAGUACCUUGUGAAAUCCCACGGCUCAACCGUGGAACUGCUUGGUAUACUGGUUGUCUUGGGCCAUCUAGGGGCGAGCGGAACAAACGGUGGAGCGGUGAAAUGCGUAGAUAUCAAGAGGAACACCUGAGGUGAAGACGGGUUGCUGGGCCGACACUGACGCUGAGUGCGCGAAAGCCAGGGGAGCAAACGGG